CGCAGCGGCCGCUCCACGCGCGUGGAAGCCCCAUCCAUUGAACCAACCUCCAGUGGUUGCUAACAGUGAGCUGGGUUUGCCACAUCCACGUCGGGGGGGAAGGACGGCUCCGUGUGUGCGUGCACUGCUGCCUGUCUGACUGCAGCACCCCUGCGUGGGGGGCAGCCUGAGGGGUGCGCAGCCUGGAGGAGGGAAGGCUGAGAGGGGUCUGAGCAGUGCUGGUGGGUAUCUGUAGGGUGGGGGUCGGGAGGAUGGGGCUGUAGGGUGGUGCACGGUGCCAGGACUGCAGGAGCAGCACUAUUCUAUGCCUGUGUGCCCAGCAGGGCCAGGCUGGUGCUGUCUGCUGCCAUCCACGUGUGUCACAGUUCUGGCAGAGUGGGUGAACGUGAGGAGGAAGCACCAAUUUGAAACAUAUGGUGCGACCAAAUUCUUUCACUGUUAGUAAUAUUCUGUUUGCUGGCAGUGAGAGUUUUGGAAACGUAUUGUUGUUGUUAUUAUUAUUAUUUGAAAUUUCUCUCGCUUUUAGUUUGCAUUUUUCACAGCUGAGGAGGAAUCUGCAGAUUUGGUUCCCGGAGAGCUUUGUUUCCCAGUUUGCAGCUCUGUGAUGCUGGCUGGGAGAAGCAGCUGCGGUUUCGUGGAUGCUGGAAGCAAACAAACACAAACAAAGGAGGCUCAGCCCGCAUGUGGGCCGUGCCCUGGUGGUCACGAUGGGAAGGGGUGCAGUUGUGAGGGGUAUGGAGCACGUCUGACCUCAUUCUCCCCACUUAGAGGAGCGUGUCCCUCAGGCCUGCGGUGUGGGCAUCCUACCAGCUCUGCCUGCGGAGGGCUGGCUGAGGUCUGAUGCAUUGCCCAUCUCGGGGCUGCUGACCCCACAAAGCAAAGGCCCUCUCCUUGCACCAAUUCCAAUCCCCUUUUGUUUGUGGCGUGGUUCGGAAGCAGCCACGUGUCAGCUCGCAGUGGGUUUGUCAGCUGCUGGUGCCUCGUGUUUGAGAUUGGGUCAGCGAUGCACGUUGCUUUUCUUUCUUUCUUUCUUUUUUUUCAGGAUGCAGCAGGGACUUUUUGGGGGAAGAAAACGGAGCGUCUCGGUUUGUUAGAUGCAUCUGUGCUGUGGGUAGCUGUAGGAAGUGGAGCAGAAAACAAGCCAGGCUGCCCGCCCCUCAUCGCUGCGUCACCUUCCUGCUGAUGGCCCAGAUAAGCUGCUUGUGAUGUGCAGGGGGUGCCCUGCCCCAGCAUGGGCAGCUCUGAGCUCGGCACCCAGCACGGGGCAUCCGGGAAAGACCUCAGAUCAUGAGAUACGUGCAGCCAAACGUCUCAUGUUUGAAGAACGGAGAUGAGUGUCUGUUAGUUGAAACCAUGUGAAAUAAACUGCGUGCAGGACCUG